rnacentral:lncRNA from 10 species
CCAAUUCUCAGCUCCUCCGCCAGACAACUCACCAGAUAAAACCUUUGCAUUUGCAGCAGAAAGUGAAGCACCUUAAGAUUAAAGUAGAAAUUCCAGGGACUAAUAUUGAGAUGAACCAGGCAUGGAGACCAAGCUGCAAAAUUCCAGAAAUGACCUCCAGGUUGUUAGUCUACAACCCAGCCAUCGUCAAGAUAACAUUAGACUGCGUUCCAGGUGGACCAUGACUCAAGAUAGCCACCAGACCAAGGCACGGACACCUAGCACCCAGCACCACUCCUGCAUGCCUCCCACUCUAAGUUCCCCUUUAUAAACACCUCUCCACAGUCGAAAGUUUGAAAUCGUCUUUUAAGGGCAUGAGCUUGGCCAUUCCCAGAUCUUGGCAUUUGAAUAAAGUAGCUCUCUGUUCAUCA